GUCUAACACAGCUCUUUUAGAACUUUGUCUAGCAGGUUUUCUGACGGCUGGAAAACCCAU
ensembl:snRNA Gm25150 predicted gene, 25150